rnacentral:lncRNA from 1 species
CAGCAAUGGACAACGUAUUAUGCUUUAAUCGAAGACAGGCACAUCAUUUUGUGGAUUUAGACUUCCAAUUAAGAGUGCUAUCCCAAAGUACGAAAAUAUGAACAAAAAACUGAUCUGCUCAUGUAUACCUUGUGAUAGUUGGCUGCUCUGGUUGUCCUUUCCAUACAGCAGAUUAUGUUUCUAGGUUCCUCUGAGGUAUCUUCUAAUCCAAUUCAAGGUGAUCAAGCGAUCAACCGAGCUUUUCGUGGAGAACCCAAAAACCUGACGUGCAAAGUUGGGGCUUGAGCAAACUAUUCCAUACAUCACACGGCCGAAUGCAUUAGAGUAGGGGAUACGAUCCAUUAAGCACUGGAAAUGACAUUCUUGUGAGAGGGUUAAUAACCUAUUAUUUCUUUUCCUGCAAGUUUCUUUUUCUUUUUGUUUAUUGCCACUGUUUAGGACAUUUCAUUCCAUAUAAAGAUUACUCAUGUUGGCACACAUGGUUUUCCUUUCCAUUCAUGACGACGAAGCCUAGUGGCUGCUGUAGAUGUUUUCUUUGAAAUCCCCAUGGGACUGCCAUUUUUAUAUCCAUUUGCUCCAAUUUCAAGCCUUGAUGUGCAGCUAGAGCAAGUAGAUGGAGGUGUCUCUGACAACUACGGAAAAAAACUUAAUU